AGCCUGGCUGCCGCCUUGCAGUUUGAUCUCAGACUGCUGUGCUAGCAAUCAGCGAGACUCCAUGGGCGUAGGACCCUCCGAGCCAGGUGCAGGAUAUAAUCUCGUGGUGCGCCGCUUUUUAAGCCCGUCGGAAAAGCGCAGUAUUCGGGUGGGAGGGAGCCGUUUUUCCAGGUGCCGUCUGUCACCCCUUUCUUUGACUCAGAAAGGGAACUCCCUGACCCCUUGUGCUUCCCGAGUGAGGCAGUGCCUCGCCCUGCUUCGGCUCAUGCACGGUGCGCACACCCACUGACCUGCGCCCACUGUCUGGCACUCCCUAGUGAGAUGAACCCGGUCCCUCAGAUGGAAAUGCAGAAAUCACCGUCUUCUGCGUCGCUCACCCUGGGAGCUGUAGACCGGAGCUGUUCCUAUUCAGCCAUCUUGGCUCCUCCGGCAAUUCUUAAAAACAGUAGAAUCUCAACAUUUGCAGAAAAUCAUUGUUAAAGGCACUUUGGAAAGACAUGAGACAGGAGAAAGAGCACGAAUUAUUCUUAAUUGUUGUGAUGAUUCACAGCUUGUGAAG
rnacentral:lncRNA from 10 species